AUCAAAAUACAUUCGAUGUAACAUUCAUUAUACAUUGUAACAACAUCCACUGAGACAGAAUCUUGUGUUGAUGCAUUCUCACCCUUGAGUAAAACUCCUGUGUGGUGACAGCAAUACAGUAAGUCUGAAAGUUCAGGAGAACUAAACAUACCCCUCCGAAACCACAAAACUCCCAGCUUAAAUGUGCCCUCACUAGACCAAAACUCCACAUCCGGGUCAGGUUCUCUCUUGACUUUAUAAUGAGCAGACUGUUGAGUUACACAACAUGAACACAUGAGUGUCAGCCGCAGCAGACCGCUUGUCUGAAAGAUCUUAUUUGUUUUGUGUUCAAGCAAUAUAUCUGUCCUUCUGGGCAACAACUGAAAUAAAUGGUGGUGUUCAUUUGUUUAUAAGUGCAUGAUGUGAAACAGCGCUUUAGAUGUAAAGGGGUAGUUCACACAAAAAUGAAAAUUCUCUCAUCAUUUAAGUCAUCGUUUUAUUUGGAUAGCACUUCACAACACACAUUGUUUUACAGCAGCUUCACAGACAAUCAUUAACAGAAAAUUAAACAGUAAUAUAUAUAUUAAGUAUCAUUUUUUUACGCAACUUUCAUAUUGUUAAAAGAAAUGACUGUGUGCACAACCACGCCGUGGUCAAUAAACGAGGUGCAGACGUUCCUCUCAUUAGCGACAAACGAAACAAAGAAGUCUCUCAGGAUGUGUCUCAGCUGUUGCCCGCACACGGCUACCACCGUACCCCCCAACAGUGAAGGGGAACGUUAAAAACACUUAAAAGUGACGACAGAACCAUCAAGGCCCACAACAGCCGGAGUGGAUCAAACAGAAGAAAGUGGAAGUGGUUGGACCAAAUGGACGCUAUCUAGACCGGCGAGCAAUGGGAGGGAGAGUGCGCUGGACUCGGUCACGGCGUUGUUGGAGUUCACGAUGGAGGAUGGGAUGUUUUGUUACGUUAACUCUAUACUCUGCUUGAAAGCUUCACUUUAUUUAGUUGACCAGCUACUGGAAGAUUCUAAAACAACCAGCCCAAUUUAACCGUUACACGUGUGUAACAUCACCAUCAACAACUGCUUUAUGCAGCUCAAUCAGCUAACAGCUAACAGCUAGCGCUCGUGUUAUUGUUUAUGGUCAGUGAUGUUUGUGUCGCAUUUAAGAUGAUGUCACGGCAGUAGAGGUGGCACAACUAUGAUGAUCAGCCUAUAAUCCCGCCCACAUUGAGGCGGCAAGUAAAGCGAGCAGAGUCGAGUCGAACCGUAACGUGCAGCGGAGAAGAACCACUGUAGUCGUAUGGAUUACUUUUAUGCUGCCUUUAUGAGCUUUUUGGAGCUUCAAACCUUCAGAGCUGAAAUAUUCUUCUAUAAAUCUUCAUUUGUGUUCUACAGAAGAAAGAAUCUGGGAUGACAUGAGGGUGAGUAAAUGAGAGAAUUUUCCUUUUUGGGUGUACUGUCCCUUUAACAUUCUGCCUAAUGUCUUUUCCAUCCUGAGAGUGAGUAAAUGAUGACAGUUGUCAUUCCUUUGACACUGCACCACAUGAUAAACACACGUGUGUUCUGGCUCAUGGAUGUAGGUUGGAUUUAUUUGGGGGGCGUGGUGGUGAAGUAGUGGGCUAAAGCACAUAACUGGUAAUCAGAAGGUUGCUGGUUUGAUCCCCACAGUCACCACCAUUGUGUCCUUGAGUAAGACACUUAACUCCAGGUUGCUCCGGGGGGAUUGUCCCUGUAAUAAGUGCUCUGUAUAAUACAUUGGUACUCAGAAGGUUGCUGGUUCGAUCCCCACAGUCACCACCAUUGUGUCCUUGAGUAAGACACUUAACUCCAGGUUGCUCCGGGGGGAUUGUCCCUGUAAUAAGUGCUCUGUAUAAUACAUUGGUAAUCAGAAGGUCACUGGUUUGAUCCCCACAGUCACCACCAUUGUGUCCUUGAGUAAGACACUUAACUCCAGGUUGCUCCGGGGGGAUUGUCCCUGUAAUAAGUGCUCUGUAUAAUACAUUGGUAAUCAGAAGGUCACUGGUUUGAUCCCCACAGUCACCACCAUUGUGUCCUUGAGUAAGACACUUAACUCCAGGUUGCUCCGGGGGGAUUGUCCCUGUAAUAAGUGCUCUGUAUAAUACAUUGGUACUCAGAAGGUUGCUGGUUUGAUCCCCACAGUCACCACCAUUGUGUCCUUGAGUAAGACACUUAACUCCAGGUUGCUCCGGGGGGAUUGUCCCUGUAAUAAGUGCUCUGUAUAAUACAUUGGUAAUCAGAAGGUUGCUGGUUUGAUCCCCACAGUCACCACCAUUGUGUCCUUGAGUAAGACACUUAACUCCAGGUUGCUCCGGGGGGAUUGUCCCUGUAAUAAGUGCUCUGUAUAAUACAUUGGUAAUCAGAAGGUUGCUGGUUUGAUCCCCACAGUCACCACCAUUGUGUCCUUGAGUAAGACACUUAACUCCAGGUUGCUCCGGGGGGAUUGUCCCUGUAAUAAGUGCUCUGUAUAAUACAUUGGUACUCAGAAGGUUGCUGGUUUGAUCCCCACAGUCACCACCAUUGUGUCCUUGAGUAAGACACUUAACUCCAGGUUGCUCCGGGGGGAUUGUCCCUGUAAUAAGUGCUCUGUAUAAUACAUUGGUACUCAGAAGGUCGCUGGUUCGAUCCCCACAGUCACCACCAUUGUGUCCUUGAGUAAGGCACUUAACUCCAGGUUGCUCCGGGGGGAUUGUCCCUGUAAUAAGUGCACUGUAUAAUACAUUGGUACUCAGAAGGUUGCUGGUUUGAUCCCCACAGUCACCACCAUUGUGUCCUUGAGUAAGGCACUUAACUCCAGGUUGCUCCGGGGGGAUUGUCCCUGUAAUAAGUGCUCUGUAUAAUACAUUGGUACUCAGAAGGUUGCUGGUUUGAUCCCCACAGUCACCACCAUUGUGUCCUUGAGUAAGACACUUAACUCCAGGUUGCUCCGGGGGGAUUGUCCCUGUAAUAAGUGCUCUGUAUAAUACAUUGGUAAUCAGAAGGUUGCUGGUUUGAUCCCCACAGUCACCACCAUUGUGUCCUUGAGUAAGACACUUAACUCCAGGUUGCUCCGGGGGGAUUGUCCCUGUAAUAAGUGCUCUGUAUAAUACAUUGGUAAUCAGAAGGUUGCUGGUUUGAUCCCCACAGUCACCACCAUUGUGUCCUUGAGUAAGACACUUAACUCCAGGUUGCUCCG